rnacentral:rRNA from 1 species
UACAGAGGUGGCUAGCGUUGUUCGGAAUUACUGGGCGUAAAGGGCGCGUAGGCGGCUUGGUCAGUCCCGUGUGAAAUCCCUCGGCUCAACUGAGGAACUGCACGGGAAACUGCCUGGCUUGAGUUCGGGAGAGGGAAGCGGAAUUCCGGGUGUAGCGGUGAAAUGCGUAGAUAUCCGGAGGAACACCAGUGGCGAAGGCGGCUUCCUGGACCGGCACUGACGCUGAGGCGCGAAAGCCAGGGGAGCGAACGGG